UUGAAAAGCACUUUGAAGAGAGAGUUAAAGAGGACGUGAAACCGGUGAGGUGGAAACGGAUAGAGUCGGCGUAUCUUGCAAGUAUUCAUUUACAUUUUUAUCGUAUUGUAAUCUCUGAGCUCCAGAUUGGGACAGUUUUUACUUUAUUAUAAAAUUGAGAUGCAUUUGCUUGUUUGGUGCGUAGGGAUGUUUGAGAUAGAUUUGUGACCGCCGUUUUGAGGCCAGCUUGCUGGUACCCAAACUGUGUUAGCAUUUUUUAUCUUGGAUAUUUGAGUAUGGCUUACGGGCGUUUAUUGGUUCGAUCUGAGUGUAAGUUACGGUCGCAUGCGACACGUGCUUUUCAAUUAGUUCGGUCCAGUUAAUGCUCUCAUACUCUUUCCCUAUGUAAAAGCCGGUCAUCUAUCCGACCCGUCUUGAAACACGGACCAAGGAGUUUAUCGUGUGCGCAAGUUUUUGGGUGUUUUAAACCUAAAAGCGCAAUGAAAGUAAAUGUUCUCUUUCGAGACUGAUGUGCGAUAUUUUUUUUUCGAAAAAAUUGCAGCAUGGCCCCAUUCUAUCUGUUUACAGAAGGGUGGCGGAAGAGCGUACGCGGUGAGACCCGAAAGAUGGUGAACUAUUCCUGAGCAGGAUGAAGCCAGAGGAAACUCUGGUGGAAGUCCGAAGCGGUUCUGACGUGCAAAUCGAUCGUCUGACUUGGGUAUAGGGGCGAAAGACUAAUCGAACCAUCUAGUAUGG
rnacentral:rRNA from 1 species